rnacentral:lncRNA from 1 species
CUUAGCUGGGAGAGCCAUGAGGUCGCAGCCCCACACUAGAUCAGGGCUGCUGUUGACUGGAAAGGCCUUCUGUGUGUUCAGGAUUGCCCUGAAGAAGAGAGACAGGCCCUGGUGAGGGUUGGGAGGCAAGUCUUUGUCCUGGGCUGGGUGGUCUGGAAGGGUUUUGUGGGCUUAGGGAUUAGGAAUCCCAGUAGGGGUGGCCUGAACUGCUCUGGACAUGGGGACCCCCUCCAACCCACAUUUCUUGAGCUCCUUCCCCACUGCAUGCCUGGCUUUGCCUCCCUGGCUUCCUUGGCUCCUCUUUCCUCACUACCCUCCUGCCUGGCAGAAGACAGGGCUGGGGAGAACCCCAGAGAGGCUGUGUGGAUCUUCGAGAGAGCACCCAGCUUCUCUGGGGCUGCUCCCCUCAGCCCGUUGCCUCAUACUGUCGACAGACCCCAGGCUUUUCCUUCACACCCAUGCCCACCCAGGCAUGGACACUCACUGUUUCCAGCAAUAAGCACCAACCGUCCUUGGUCACGGACAGUACUGUGAACACAAACCCAUGCGUGCACUUACCAGCAGACGCGAGACUCUUGAAGACAAUGUCAGAUGAACCUUUUUUUUUUUAAAGAUUGAAAUCAAAGAUAUAAAGAGAAAUAAAAUUAAUUUUAAAGC